rnacentral:rRNA from 1 species
UACAGAGGUCCCGAGCGUUGUUCGGAUUCACUGGGCGUAAAGGGUGCGCAGGUGGGUUGGCAAGUUUGAUGUGAAAGCCCCGGGCUUAACCCGGGAAAGGCAUUGAAUACUGCUGAUCUGGAGGAUCGGAGGGGGGACUGGAAUUCUUGGUGUAGCAGUGAAAUGCGUAGAUAUCAAGAGGAACACCAGUGGCGAAGGCGAGUCCCUGGACGAUAACUGACACUGAGGCACGAAAGCCGGGGGAGCAAACAGG